ACCGCCGCCUGGCCAGCGCUUCAAAGAUGCGGCGGCGCAGACGGACGCCGACGCGUGGCCCGCGUGGGGCUCGGCCCCGUCGUUGCCGCUAACCGACCUGCUGAAGCAGCGGCUCGCCGCCACGCACCGCAUGGCGAGAAACGGCCGCAGGCGCCGCGACGGCCUCAUCCGCAGCCUCGGGCCUCCCGCCUACGCAUACGCCACCCUGCACCAAACCAUGGAGCUCAUCAGUAAAACAAAGGCGGCCAGAGUGUGCGAGACGCACACGUGAUUGCUCGCCGCGGACGACCACUCUCAAUUGGAAGAUCAUCAUCGCCUUCCCGACUGAGCUGGGCCGACCGCUGUGAAGAUUUCUUCAUCGACCAACCGGGCCGGCCGGGUUCAGAGGGAGCCCCCCGCCUUUCCGAAGGUGGCUCCAUCUUGUUCAAUGGACUCGGAUAUCAUUUGAACCCAACAUCGUAUCGUACAAGGUUGGGUCCAAUGUUUGCGUUCAGAGACCCCGGGAAAUAGCGGCGCUGCGCAAAAAGCGAACUUUAUGCGGAGCCACCAACAACACACGCAAGCCAGCGGCUUAGAAUGCAAA